AUUGAACGCUGGCGGCAGGCCUAACACAUGCAAGUCGAACGAGUGGCGGACGGGUGAGUAAUGCAUGGGAAUCUGGCUUAUGGAGGGGGAUCACGACGGGAAACUGUCGCUAAUACCGCGUACAAUAGGAUGAGCCCAAGUGGGAUUAGGUAGGUGGUGGGGUAAUGGCCUACCAAGACGACGAUCUCUAGCUGGUCUGAGAGGAUGACCAGCCACACCGGGACUGAGACACGGCCCAGACUCCUACGGGAGGCAGCAGUGGGGAAUAUUGCGCAAUGGGGGCAACCUGACGCAGCCAUGCCGCGUGAAUGAAGAAGGCCUUCGGGUUGUAAAGUUCUUUCAGUGACGAGGCGUUACUCACAGAAGAAGCACCGGCUAACUUCGUGCCAGCAGCCGCGGUAAUAC
rnacentral:rRNA from 1 species